AUACAUAUAGCUGUAAGACAAUGAUCACUAAGGUGGUUUUUCCAGGGCAAGGCUUAUGCAUUGCACUCCGGAUGCGCUGACCCCUGCAAUCUCCCCAAAUGUAGGAAGCUCAACUGCAUAAUAUGUGGUAAUGAAGGACUUGUUAGCACCUUAA
rnacentral:snRNA from 1 species